UCUCUCAACAUGUGCACAUUUGGAGACUCAAGCGUCUGUGUAAAAUUACAGCAUAAUUGAAGCUCAGUGUCCAUGGCAGCUACCGGAAAGAGAGAGAUUUCCAAGGAGCCACCAUCCAGCUCUCAGAUAUUCAAGUCUUUUCAGACCAGGCACCAGAUAGUGAUCUGAAUGAAGUAAUUCACGCAGUAAAGUGUCCUAAAAAUGUGCUGUUGUCCAAAAAUGUGAACAUCUUCAGGAAAUUUGAAAUGUGAGAUCCAUCAGACUCUAAGUCGAGUGAAUAUCAUGUUUAAAAAUGUGCAGCUGAAAGAAAUAAUAUGAAGAGAUGUAGUGACCAAUAGAGCAAAAUUUGACUAGAAUUUGAUUUAAUCUCAGAAACAUUUAAGGUCAGGAAAUGAAAGAUUUGAACUGCUCCAGUCUACAUGCAGAAGAAGAAAAAUAAAAAGAGAUGGCUAAUAAUGUAGAUUCUAAUUAAAAAUGCGUUCUUCUCAUUUUGCCCCUGCUCUGUUGAAGUGUUAGGGUUCGGGUGUAUUUCCUGGCUCUGUCUCUACCUGUAAAGGGCAAAUACUGGUAUAUAUCAGCCAACUCUGUCAACGUAUGUAAUUCGUUUAGGAACGGGCAUAUCACACAACUCUGAUCAGCGGGCUAUGAGAGAAUUCUCCUGGGAUCUUCUAAAGAAGAUCCCACACAGUUAAUAAAGUGAACAUGAAGGAAGAUGGAUCUUUCUUCUUGUGACGCCCAAACUGUGAGGCCACCUUUACUAUCUGAUAAAGAGACCUGCUUUAAAUACCUCUUCCUAAUUGCUAAGGACCUUGCCAACAUAUGAGAAGGAUGCUGAGGGAAGAGCUUGUGUUCUUGAUGCUGCCGUGGAGACUGAAUUAGCCAACUCUGGAAUCGCCUCCGUCCAGGUUUCUUGUUAUAAAAGAAACUGAUCUGCGGAACCUUCAGGAGAUUCAUCUCAAGAGACGCAUCUGCCUUCUCGAUGGGAUUGUUGGCCUCUUGUGUUGAAGGGAUCUCAUUUCAGGAGCCAGCAGGUCAUUUCAUCUCAUCCUCUAGUAUCAUCUUACAGGCUCUGGCUAAGCCACAUGAAAGUUACACAUGCCAACUGAUGGCUUACUUUGGUUUUGUCAAAUGGUGGAUACUUAGUCACAGUUUGAAAUGAAAAUACACCUGGUAUGUGCCACCUUAGAAGGUUUAAUCUUUUUCAGGGGUUACAGAAAAAAAAAUAUGUGAUAAGACAUGGUCAACCAAUGUGUAUUUAAAGUUCACAUUUUAAUGUACUUUAAUUUUUUUAUGAAGACUACUGAGAGGAAGGAGCAGCGAGGAAUGAAACAACAAGGUAGGGGCAGAGGAAAGAAAACAGGGCAACAGAAUGAGAUGGAUUGAAAAGAAAACAACCCGCAUGGAACUAGGAUGGGAUUAGCUGAAGUACAGCAGGAGGAGGCUGAAGCAGUAACAAGGGAAAAUGUCUCAGGCAGGCCUGCCACUGCCAUUUCCUCAGGCAAGAGGACAGAGAGGCCCACAUUCCACUCUACAUGUCAAUAUCUAAAGGGGAUACAUGAGACCAGCACACCACAAAGUCAAUUACGGUUUGCCCUCCUCCCUUGACAAAUACAUUCUUAUGACAACAAAACUGAAAAAAUAAAUAAAUAAAGCCAUCACAUCUG